rnacentral:misc_RNA from 1 species
AAGUCGUAACAAGGUUUCCGUAGGUGAACCUGCGGAAGGAUCAUUAACACGUAUCCACGUAUCAACCAAAUGCGAACUUGUUUUCACCUACCCUGGAUUAGCACAUGAGGAGGAAAAGCUAGGAAGACUACUGAGUGGGACGCUUGCGUCCGGUCUUUCUAAAAUUACUUGACGUUGGCGCAAGCCUUCAUCGUACUUCUGCAGUGUUAAAACAGGACCACACCAUCUCGUCUCUAACAAUCUCCAUUCAAGAUUGUCAUUGAUGGGAGCCACCAUUAAAACCUAUUUCACCCCCUUUUUGCUAGUUGACUUUUUAUAUGUUGUUUAUUGUGACGAUUUAAUUAUCGCAACAGUACUCACACGUUUAUUUACUUGAACGUUAAAAAUACAACUCUUAGCAAUGGAUAUCUUGGUUCUC